rnacentral:rRNA from 1 species
UACGAAAGGAGUAAAUAACUAAAAUAUUUUUAUAUA